rnacentral:rRNA from 1 species
GGGUGUGAUCAUACCAGUGUUAAUGCACUGGAUCCCAUCAGAACUCCGCAGUUAAGCGCGCUUGGGAUAGAGUAGUACUGGGAUGGGUGACCUCCCAGGAAGUCCUAGUGUUGCACCCU